GAUCCAAGGUGGAGUUCACAGAGGAUGAGGAGACACUGAUUGCCAGGAUGUAUAAUUUGCUUGGAGAUAGGUGGUCUCUGAUUGCUGGAAGGAUUCCUGGAAGAACAGCUGAAGAGAUUGAGAAGUACUGGACCUCGAGGUACUCAAAUAGUGAACAAUGAUGAGCAUUUACUUGUGUACUACUGCAGGGGCAAGAGCAGUUCUUUCUGUACUUCAGAUGGCAAGCAAUUUUGGAUGGUGUCUUACUUGUAUUUUUCGGAACUAUCAGCUCGCAUUCGUGUCUAGGUGGCUUUGAGUCAUGUUGGAUUUUGCUGUUUCUUUGUUAUUUCAGUUGCAAGAAGGGAAGGAAACAUCCUGUUUCCAUGUCAGUAUAUCGGUCUGGUGUUAUGCAAAUUAGCAAACCAACUGUAAUUUAGAAAUUAAUGGAGUGUUAUGUAUUUUUAUGAUA